rnacentral:rRNA from 1 species
AGAGUUUGAUCUGGCUCAGGACGAACGCUGGCGGCGUGCUUAACACAUGCAAGUCGAACGAAAGGCCCUGCUUUUGUGGGGUGCUCGAGUGGCGAACGGGUGAGUAACAGUGAGUAACCUGCCCUUGACUUUGGGAUAACUUCAGGAAACUGGGGCUAAUACCGGAUAGGAGCUCCUGCUGCAUGGUGGGGGUUGGAAAGUUUCGGCGUUGGGGAUGGACUCGCGGCUUAUCAGCUUGUUGGUGGGGUAGUGGCUUACCAAGGCUUUGACGGGUAGCCGGCCUGAGAGGGUGACCGGCCACAUUGGGCUGAGAUACGGCCCAGACUCCUACGGGAGGCAGCAGUGGGGAAUAUUGCCAAUGGGCGGAAGCCUGAUGCAGCAACGCCGCGUGCGGGAUGACGGCCUUCGGGUUGUAAACCGCUUUCGCCUGUGACGAAGCGUGAGUGACGGUAAUGGUAAAGAAGCACCGGCUAACUACGUGCCAGCAGCCGCGGUGAUUCGUAGGGUGCGAACGUUGUCCGGAUUUAUUGGGCGUAAAGGGCUCGUAGGUGGUUUAUCGCGUCGGAAGUGUAAUCUUGGGGCUUAACCCUGAGCGUGCUUUCGAACGGGUUGACUUGAGGAAGGUAGGGGAGAAUGGAAUUCCUGGUGGAGCGGUGGAAUGCGCAGAUAUCAGGAGGAACACCAGUGGCGAAGGCGGUUCUCUGGGCCUUUCCUGACGCUGAGGAGCGAAAGCGUGGGGAGCGAACAGGCUUAGAUACCCUGGUAGUCCGCGCUGUAAACGGUGGGUACUAGGUGUGGGGUCCUUCCACGGGUUCCGUGCCGUAGCUAACGCUUUAAGUACCCCGCCUGGGGAGUACGGCCGCAAGGCUAAAACUCAAAGGAAUUGACGGGGCCCCGCACAACGGCGGAGCAUGCGGAUUAAUUCGAUGCAACGCGUAGAACCUUACCUGGUCUUGACAUGGAUCGGGAGUGCUCAGAGAUGGGUGUGCCUCUUUGGG